GCAGCUUGUAUGUUGCCAUACUCCAAGAAAGUAACUCCGGGCAUAACAGGCUCAAAUGGUGAACGAUAGUGCUCUUUACUCGUCAAAGCAAGGGCUCCCAUCGUCCUACCAUGGAAGCUAUUCGUAAAGGAGAUAAAUUCUGUUGCAGGUUGCUUAUUAUCAGGAUGUAUAAAUCUUUGGAACUUCCUGGAAAACUUAAUAGCAGCUUCAUUUGCUUCCGUUCCAGAGUUGGUGAAAAAUACUCUAUCAGCAAAGGAAUUACCCACAAGACGUUCUGCAAGCUCCGCCUACAAAAUCACAUCAAAACUUAUAUGUAAUUGUAUAAUCACUUUUAACAGUUCUAAUUCCUCAUAAAAUGAACAUGCAAAUUCUGGUCUUGCCUUACUUAUGAAGGGUAAUCAAUGAUUUCUAAAUAAACAUUAACCCAUUCUAUAUCAACAAAAAACAAGAAUCGGGUAAGCAAAACUUCACCUGAGGAAUGCUAUAGUAGGCAUUACUAACAUGAGUAAGAAUACUGGCUUGUUCUGUAACAGCCCUGAGCCAAUCGGGAUCCCCAUGACCAAGCGCAUUCACAGCAAUCCCAGCUGCACAAUCAAGAAACUCUCGCCCUUCCGGAUCAUACAAUUUACAGCCCUUCCCACUGGAAAGAACCACCGGAGCUCUUGCAUACGUUCCAACAAUAAACUUCGCAUCUUUCUCUAUCACUUCAUUGCUUCCAUUCGACUUCAAUUUCAAUGGAUUAGGUGCUUCUACGUCCAUGUUUAGAGAUGCAUUCACUCUCCCAUUGUUUAACGGGCGGCGGAGAUUGGUCGCCGGAGAAACUGAAAGCGAAAAGCUGGGAAAUAGCUUAAGAGAACCCAUUUUUUUUAGCUUUUUUAUUCUUUUCCGGUAAAAGCUUUGAUCUUUUUCUUUGGGUUUAUACAAAAGCAGGAAUAAUGAAUUUGAGAACGUAAAAGAAUGGGGUUUGAGAGAGAAAUGUUGAAUGAUUGCUAAUCAAUAAAUUGAUUUACAGAAGGAAAAAAGCAAAUUUGGAUUUGGAGAUAGAAAGGAGGGUAAGGUAGGGUUUAUAAUGGGGGUACAAUGCUGUAAAAGCCUUUAGAUCUAAAACAAUUAAAUCCCAACCAUUAAUUAACAAAGAGAGGGUUUUUGACCUGGGAAAGCAAAAUUUUAAUUUCAAGUCGGAUAUCCGCUUUGCUUGCUUACAUCAUAGUGAUGACACUGGGCAAAAUACCAAAAAAAAGCCUUAUUUUUUAAAAUUUUAUCGAAAUGGAUCCGGUAUUUUAUUAUUUACCGAAAUAGGUCAUUUUUCUCAAAAUCGCGUUUAUGUCAGCGCAAUGUCAGGGGACAUGUCAGCAAAUCGCGUCCAUGUCAGCACGCUUUGCUUACGUAGACACAAAUCGCGCCUACGAGGAUGCGAUUUGAUAACACAUCCCCUGACAUCGCGGUGACGUGGACGCGAUUUUGGGGAAAAUGGUCCAUUCCGGUAAAUAAUAAAAUACCGAGCCUAUUUCGGUAAAUUUUAAAAAAUAGGGCUUUUAUGUGUAAUUUACCUCUUUUUUGGUAUUUUGCCCCUAAUAAUACAUAUUAAUGUAUAAUAUGUAGCUCAAAUUAUGUAUUGUAAUUAAUAUUCAUAAUAUUGUAGCUCAAAUUGUCAAUCCGUCUAUACUAUUUUACUAAUAAUAUAUAUUAAUGUAAUAUCGAAGAGUUAAUUGAUUAAAAAAAAUAAAUGCAACAAGUACAAAAAAGUUUUAAAAUUAUUACCAAUAAGAUUUGAACCAAGGUGCUAAAGGAGAAGAGCAAACAUCUUAACCAACUAAGUUAAACUAAUUAAUUGACAUAUUAUAAAAAUACUGUUAUUAUCUUAAUUAUAUUACUUACGUUCUAACGAUUUAUCAGACCUAUUCCAUACACGUGUCAAAUCAGAAAAAAUAAUACAAUAAUUCUGUAAAAAAAUCCGGUGUUUACUUCAAAUAAAUAAGGAAAAUAAUGAUUUGAAUGUUUCAAAAUUUAAUUUUAAACCGAAAAAAUCAAAAUUUAGAGGUAAAAAAAGAUCUUUUUCGACAAAAACUGCGGCAAACCGCCUUCGGCUGUUUUUCAACGCGUAGAUCUCGAUAAUUUAUUCGAAAUAAAAAAAAUCGUCUCAAUCGGACAACCGAACGAAAAAUUAUGGCCUUUCAAAAUUUUCCAAGCUAAAAAACAUAAACUGUUCAUGAAUUAUUGCUUCCACGUCAGCAAAUUGCAUCCUCGUAGGCGCGAUUUGUGUCCACGUAAGUAAAGCGCGUUGACGUGGACGCGAUUUGCUGACACAUCCCCUGACAUCGCGUUGACGUGGACACGAUUUUGGGGAAAAUGGCCCAUUCCGGUAAAUAAUAAAAUACCGGGCCCAUUUCGGUAAAUUUUUAAAAAAUAGGACUUUUAUAUGUAAUUUGCCCGAUGACACUGCCAUUAUUUCUUGUUCUUUUUUAAUUUCUUUGAAUUUCAAUGUUGAAUUUUUCAUUUCUUUUUAUAACAUAAACUUCUGUGUUUUCUCCAAUUUCAACUUCUCCUUCACCGUCACUCAAACAUGGACUUUCUGAAAAUUUUGAAGGCAUUUUUUGUUUCAUUUAUUAGUUCCACACUCUUCACAGCCACCACCAUCAUCACCCAACCUUAAAUUACACCACUGCGGCUUCCUCAACAACAAUCGCUACCACCAACUCCCUCCCAUCGGAAACUUGCAGCAGCUCAACAGCAUCUGUAAUGGAUAAACGUAGUCAUGUUAUUUUGUUUUUCGUAUCCCAUUAUCAUGCUCCAAUUCCAAUACGCCCAAUCCGAUCAAAAUCAAUCCAAUAUUUCUUUGAUUGUGCUUUCCUUUCUCGUCCUACUUACUUCCAAUCUUUUUUUACUGGUUUUGUUUAUCAAACCAAUUUCUACCCGAACUUCAGAAACAUUAGAAAAAGUUGGGGUCCUUAUAGAUGUUGCUGCAAUAAUAUUAAAAUUAUAAAAAUUCAAAAAUAAUGAAUUUAAAAUAAUAUUCUUUUAUUUAAAAUCCAAAAAAAAAAAUUCUUUAAAUGUUUUGAAAAAAAUUACAAAAUAAUCUUUAAAAUUCCAAAUAUUCAUUAAAAUUUCUAUAAAAAAUUAGGAGGAUAAAAUAUUGAAAAAAAUUUAAAAAUCUAAAACUAUUUUCUCUCAUCUCUCAUUUUGCUCUUAAAAAAUUUUUCAAAUAAAUGACGAACAAGUUUUAAUUAAGCUUGCUUGAAUUCUUUUAAUUUAACUUGAAUAAAUUUAUGUUGAUAGCGUAUUAGUUUAAUAGGAUUAUUACUAUUGCACAAUUAAAAUGAUAUACUUGUCCUUCAAUUUAGAUGUGUGAAGGGAUUAUGGGUAAAAUAUUAAAAACUAUUUUUUUUUCCUCUUUGAACAUAAGAUUGAGAGUCUACUUGUAACCAAUGUUGUCCCCACCCUUUUAACCAUUCUAUUUUCCUUUAGUUUUUUUUAUUCAUUUCUUCUACACCAAGGCCAAGGGCAAACCCUCUCUAAUUAUAAUUUCAAGUUGGAUAUAUGCUUGGUUUGCUUACAUUAUAGUGCCAUUACACUGCCAUUUUUUAUUUUUGAAUUUUUCAUUAGACUAUUCAGUGCUUCAUGUUCUGCAUCAAACCUUGGAGCCUUUCGAACUCGGAUAAGUGCAGCCAUACUUUUUUUAAUCCAAUUACCAUAAAUAAAAUUAACAAAAUCACAAAAUUUACCAUCAUUAAAAGAGUAUGAAAAAUAAUAUGUUAAAAUAAUGCUAUAAAUAGAACUAACAAAAUCUUUGGAUGUUGCUCUACCUCCCCGGAGAUGUUUUCAUGGGCCGCUGCCAAACCGCGCUCGAUUUUACUGAGAGUGAGCUCUGCAAUUAAAAUUCAAAAUGAAAUACUUAUUUUGAUUGUUUUAUAAGUUUAACAUAAAGCUGCAAAAUUUUCAACACCUUCAAAACAUACUAAAUGCCAAAUGUUUACCCAACUGUCUUAAGGUGGAUUUGAAUGUGCGGUGCAUUUAACUGCUACUAGCAUAAAAAUAAUGGUGGCGGUAAGAUUAAAUACUGUAGCAAUACUGUAGCGUAAGACAAAAAGUAAGCUAAACACACCACACCGUAUCCAAUCGCUACAGUAUCUAAUCUUACCAAAACUGUUAUUUUUAUACUAAACCGUAGGUAAACGAACCGCUCUUCUAAACUAUCUUAAACUCAGUUACUGUUAUCAAGUGCUGGUAAACAUUCAUGAAGAAUCUCAGCUGCAUGUUUCAAUUCUUCCUCUGAGAUGAUCAGUGGUGGCACCAGUCUCACCACAUUUCCUUUCCCUGCAGUCAAUACAAGAAGUCCAGAAUUUCGGCACGCAUCUACAAGGGGCGAAGCAGACACGUCCAGCUCUAUCCCAAUCAUAAGACCCCAUCCUCGUAUUUCUUUCACGUGCGGAUUCCCUCCGAGCUUCUGGUUCAACAACUCUUUCAUGUAAUCACCUUUCUUCGAGACGCUGGACAAGAAACUGGGGUUUGCUAUUUUAUUGAAAACACAAAUUGCAGCACUGCAAACAAAAGGUGAACCUGCAAAAGUACUUCCAUGGUCCCCAUGGGCUAUGGCAGAAGCAACUCUUUCAGUUACCAAAGUCGCACCUAUUGGAAGUCCUCCUGCAAGUGGCUUUGCAAGUGUCAUCAUAUCCGGGAAUACGCCGUAUGCUUCGUGUGCCCAGAGAUAACCAGUUCGACCCAAUCCGCAUUGAACCUAGGAAUAUAAAAAGUAAUUGCAACAAUUAUAACAAAUGUUAGAAUCCUAUGGAUAUGCACCUAAUAUGCGUAUACUCAAUUUUUCAAGUCCAUUUCACAUAUUUGAACGAUCAUGACUCUAUACCCCAUGUCAACUAACUACUACAACCAAUCACCUAUAUAGCACAUAUGGAGCUGUGUACCUCAUCAAAAACCAAGAGGGAUCCAGCAUCAUCGCAAGCGGAACGCAGAGCUUGCAAAAACUCUUUUGUUGCACUGUAUAUUCCACCUUCACCCUGAACUGGUUCUACAAAUACAGCAGCAAUCAUCCCAUUCCUAAUACGAUCUAUUGCAGCUUGUAUGUUGCCAUACUCCAAGAAAGUAACUCCGGGCAUAACAGGCUCAAAUGGUGAACGAUAGUGCUCUUUACUCGUCAAAGCAAGGGCUCCUAUCGUCCUACCAUGGAAGCUAUUCGUAAAGGAGAUAAAUGCUGUUGCAGGCUGCUUAUUAUCAGGAUGUAUAAAUCUUUGGAACUUCCUGGAAAACUUAAUAGCAGCUUCAUUUGCUUCCGUUCCAGAGUUGGUGAAAAAUACUCUAUCAGCAAAGGAAUUACCCACAAGACGUUCUACAAGCUCCGCCUACAACAUCACAUCAAAACUUCUUUGUAAUUGUAUAAUCACUUUUAACAGUUCUAAUUCCUCAUAAAAUGAACAUGCAAAUUCUGGUCUUGCCUUACUUAUGAAGGGUAAUCAAUGAUUUCUAAAUAAACAUUAACCCAUUCUAUAUCAACAAAAAACAA
rnacentral:lncRNA from 1 species